AUUGAACGCUGGCGGCAGGCUUAACACAUGCAAGUCGAACGAGUGGCGGACGGGUGAGUAAUGCUUGGGAAUCUAGCUUAUGGAGGGGGAUAACUAAGGGAAACUGUAGCUAAUACCGCGUACCAUAGGAUGAGCCCAAGUGGGAUUAGGUAGGUGGUGAGGUAAAGGCUCACCAAGCCAACGAUCUCUAGCUGGUCUGAGAGGGUGACCAGCCACAUUGGGACGGUGACACGGCCCAGACUCCUACGGGAGGCAGCAGUGGGGAAUAUUGCGCAAUUGGGGCAACCUGACGCAGCCAUGCCGCGUGCGUGAUGACGGCCUUCGGGUUGUAAAGCUCUGUUAAUCGGGAGUCGGUACCGGAAUAGAAAGCCACGGCUAACUACGUGCCAGCAGCCGCGGUAAUUC
rnacentral:rRNA from 1 species